UGGGAACGCGAAGAACCUUACCUAGACUUGACAUCUCCUGAAUUACCCUUAAUCGGGGAAGCCCUUCGGGGCAGGAAGACAGGUGGUGCAUGGUUGUCGUCAGCUCGUGUCGUGAGAUGUUGGGUUAAGUCCCGCAACGAGCGCAACCCUUAUUGUUAGUUGCUACCAUUUAGUUGAGCACUCUAGCGAGACUGCCCGGGUUAACCGGGAGGAAGGUGGGGAUGACGUCAAAUCAUCAUGCCCCUUAUGUCUAGGGCUACACACGUGCUACAAUGGCUGGUACAGAGAGAUGCUAAACCGCGAGGUGGAGCCAAACUUUAAAACCAGUCUCAGUUCGGAUUGUAGGCUGAAACUCGCCUACAUGAAGCUGGAGUUGCUAAGUAAUCGCGAAUCAGCAUGUCGCGGUGAAUGCGUUCCCGGGUCUUGUACACACCG
rnacentral:rRNA from 1 species